rnacentral:rRNA from 1 species
GGAGUCUGGGCCGUGUCUCAGUCCCAAUGUGGCCGUUCAACCUCUCAGUCCGGCUACUGAUCGUCGCCUUGGUGAGCCGUUACCUCACCAACCAGCUAAUCAGACGCGAGCUCAUCUUUCAGCGAUAAAUCUUUGAUAUUAAAGUCAUGCGGCUUCAAUAUGUUAUGCGGUAUUAUCAGUCGUUUCCAACUGCUAUCCCCCUCUGAAAGGCAGAUUGCUCACGUGUUACUCACCCGUCCGCCACUAAGUUAAUCUAAGCAAGCUCAUAUUAACUCCGUUCGACUUGCAUGUGUUAAGCGUGCCGCCAGCGUCGUCCUGAGCCACUGAUCAAACUACU